UUGCACGCUGGCGGCAGGCCUAACACAUGCAAGUCGAACGGUAACAGGAAGAAGCUUGCUUCUUUGCUGACGAGUGGCGGACGGGUGAGUAAUGUCUGGGAAACUGCCUGAUGGAGGGGGAUAACUACUGGAAACGGUAGCUAAUACCGCAUAACGUCGCAAGACCAAAGAGGGGGACCUUCGGGCCUCUUGCCAUCGGAUGUGCCCAGAUGGGAUUAGCUAGUAGGUGGGGUAACGGCUCACCUAGGCGACGAUCCCUAGCUGGUCUGAGAGGAUGACCAGCCACACUGGAACUGAGACACGGUCCAGACUCCUACGGGAGGCAGCAGUGGGGAAUAUUGCACAAUGGGCGCAAGCCUGAUGCAGCCAUGCCGCGUGUAUGAAGAAGGCCUUCGGGUUGUAAAGUACUUUCAGCGGGGAGGAAGGGAGUAAAGUUAAUACCUUGGCUCAUUGACGUUACCCGCAGAAGAAGCACCGGCUAACUCCGUG
rnacentral:rRNA from 1 species